GGAGACGCUUGCGCUUUCCCGGGCCGCACUUCCCACCCGGGUCUUCAGAAGCCCGUGGCCGCUGGGUGAGCCCCUGCGUGAACGCACACGCACGCACACGGCUUCAGGUUGCCCCGCGGCGCCGCGCGCGAUAUCGGCUCGGAUCCCGGGAGGCCGUCCGCCCCUUUUUCAGCGGAUAGCUGAGGCCAGGGUUAGUUACGUAUUUAAUUUUUUUCAAGAGAAACUCAACAUUUAAAAAGAAGCUAUGUCAAGGAAAUUGGAGGUCUUCUCAUGUUCACAGAAAGCUCCGUGUUUUAGGAGCCCCUGGGCGGUGGACUGAGGGUGUAGCACUGAAUAUUGAGAGGAGACUGGGCGACCCCUUCACCCACCGGCACCCUUCGCUGACCAUGUUCUGUUCCCAGACUUCACAGCACCAGCUCCAGGCAGCUGAGGAAACGUCUCCGUGUCUGCAUCCAGUCCCCAUCAUGCAAGCUCUACACCUGACCCUUAGCCAGUAUCUAAACAUCUACCUUUAAUUCCUCCUCCGUUGACACACGCAUGGUCAAGAGAAUGAAAUCCUUCAAGUAACACUGAAGAAGUUCCUGCUGCGGCUCUCCAUGGAGCUGGGCAAGAAACCUGCCCAGAGGAGUCUGCUGAAAGAUGUCCACGAACUUCUUGGGCAGUCCUGCAGAGAGGAAACCAAGGAGCGGCCUGGAGUGCGUCUAAGUCAUGGCGCUCCCCUGCCUCCAGGGGGCUCCGGAGUGAAGGGGAAUGGGGACGCCUUGUUGAAUGGGAGCUCGUAGACAAAGGGGUACCAACUGCCUGAUUUUGUAGGGAAUUGAAGGAAUAGUCACUGUCUAGACAUUUAGGAUAUUUUUCUUUUUCCUUUUUUUUGGAGAUGGAGUCUUACUCUGUUGCCCAGGCUGGAGUGCGGUGGGUAGCGUGAUCUCUGCUCACUGCAACCUCCGCCUCCCAGGUUCAAGUGAUUCUCCUGCCUCAGCCUACCAAGUAGCUGGGACUACAGGCAUGCACCACCACACCCAGCUAAUUUUUUGUAUUUUUAGUAGAGACGGGGUUUCACCAUGUUGGUCAGGCUGGUCUCGAACUCCUGACCUCAGGUGAUCUGCCGGCCUUGGCCUCCCAAGGUGUUGUGAACCACUGCGCCUGGCCUAGGAUAUUUUUCCAGUGGAAUAAAAUAAAGGAAGGCGGAAACAGUGUCAAAUUUAGGUCAGAAACAGCCAAGCUAGCCCCAAAGAGAAACAUCUAGAUAAGACUGAGUUGUAUGUUGCAUGGCUACAUUGUAUGUUGCAUGGCUACAGGUCACAGCAUGCUUCAGGAACCCCCGGGUCCAAGUAAAUUAGGAACAAGUGGGCUGCUCUUCAGGGGCUGGGGGUCACAGAGCAUGCAAGCCAGAAAGAUCUGGCUUCUAGUGGGCGGGGUGCAGCCCCUAAUUCGCAUGCUGUCAUAGAAAAGCAGGGUCAGUUGGGGUAUUGUCCUGAGAAAGGAAUAUGCUCAUGAGGAGAGAGACUGCUUUGAGAAAAAGUGGCAGAAUGGUAACCUAGAAAAGAAGGCCACCCUGAGUCUUCCAAAUGGUACGAUAAGUAAACGUGGAAAAGACUAUUGCAUGUAUGAAAGAUGGCUUUUGUAAAAGUGUUGCGUUGUCGUUGGUUUUUCUGGACUAGGGCAAAUCUUCUGGCAUCUGGCAGCAGAGCUCAGCACUGUGUCUGGGCUGUGACUCGGGAGACACAGCUGGGAGGUGCCUCCUGAUGGGGCACCUGGGAGUAGGGGAUGCUCCAGGCGCUCGUGCCUUCUGAGAACGCCUCUCCUGGGGGCAUCUUCCGAGUCCAGUGCCCCAGUCUGAGAAGGCCCAGAAUGGGAAUGACCAGCUGAUAGAGGCGACAGUCCUCCUCUUGCCAGAACACACCCCAUUUCGCCAUAUCCCUGGCCAUCACGGCACUAAAAACCAUCUCACAGGCUCCUGCUGCCAUAGGAUCGAAAGGUUUCUGGUCCCGCCGGGGCCUCUCACUCCUUCAGCAGAAACUUUAAAAUGACGCGGUGACGUAAAUUGGACGCUUACUGCACAAACAAAGUGUGAAAACUAAAAACUCCAAAAUUCACCUUGCAAUUCUAGCCACCCAUCUGCUUUUCACUGUCAGGCAAUCCCUUUGUGAUUCACCUGUGCUGAAUCUGACCUGUCUUGAGGUAGCCUCACCUUCUGCGUCUGUGAUGUACUGAGCCUGGACCCACAGCUCCUCCAGAUAGUCCUUGAUUUUCCAGCUGAAAGGGACGUUGUUGGAAGCGUUCUCGGAAAGGUUCAUGUGGUUCUGCACCACGAUGUAGGCCAUCUCACCUUUAUGUCUGCAAUAAGGUGAGGGAUGAUAAGAAGAGGGUUUGUGAGACGUCACUCAAAACACAAGAUAAGAUCUGCCACUGAUGCCAGCUCUUCUCAGACCUCAAAAACAAAGGGGCCAACAGGCCAGGCAGACGGCGCUGAUCUGUUUCACAGUACAGGGUUUCUGUUAUGACAGAACUAGGGAACUGUCUUAUGCAAUCUUUGUUUCACAGGCAAAACAAAAACAAACCAAGGCUGACAGGGGUCAAGUGUGUUGCCCAAAAUCUCGGGCAGAACCAAGUCUUCUGGUUCCUGAACCUGUCUGGCUUUGAUAACUUGUAACACAGAGCACAACUUGUUAGAGUCUUUGCUUCAUGAACAUCAGCAGCGCCUUGUCUUUUAAAUAAGUGUUUCCACUGGCAAUUCAAAUUCCAUUUCUUUCUUUCUCUCACUCUUUCUUUCUUUACUUUCUUUCUCUC
ensembl:lncRNA RNF213-AS1 RNF213 antisense RNA 1